rnacentral:rRNA from 1 species
AAAUUGAAGAGUUUGAUCAUGGCUCAGAUUGAACGCUGGCGGCAGGCCUAACACAUGCAAGUCGAACGGUAACAGGAAGCAGCUUGCUGCUUUGCUGACGAGUGGCGGACGGGUGAGUAAUGUCUGGGAAACUGCCUGAUGGAGGGGGAUAACUACUGGAAACGGUGGCUAAUACCGCAUAACGUCGCAAGACCAAAGAGGGGGACCUUCGGGCCUCUUGCCAUCAGAUGUGCCCAGAUGGGAUUAGCUAGUUGGUGAGGUAACGGCUCACCAAGGCGACGAUCCCUAGCUGGUCUGAGAGGAUGACCAGCCACACUGGAACUGAGACACGGUCCAGACUCCUACGGGAGGCAGCAGUGGGGAAUAUUGCACAAUGGGCGCAAGCCUGAUGCAGCCAUGCCGCGUGUAUGAAGAAGGCCUUCGGGUUGUAAAGUACUUUCAGCGGGGAGGAAGGUGUUGUGGUUAAUAACCGCAGCAAUUGACGUUACCCGCAGAAGAAGCACCGGCUAACUCCGUGCCAGCAGCCGCGGUAAUACGGAGGGUGCAAGCGUUAAUCGGAAUUACUGGGCGUAAAGCGCACGCAGGCGGUCUGUCAAGUCGGAUGUGAAAUCCCCGGGCUCAACCUGGGAACUGCAUUUGAAACUGGCAGGCUUGAGUCUUGUAGAGGGGGGUAGAAUUCCAGGUGUAGCGGUGAAAUGCGUAGAGAUCUGGAGGAAUACCGGUGGCGAAGGCGGCCCCCUGGACAAAGACUGACGCUCAGGUGCGAAAGCGUGGGGAGCAAACAGGAUUAGAUACCCUGGUAGUCCACGCCGUAAACGAUGUCUACUUGGAGGUUGUGCCCUUGAGGCGUGGCUUCCGGAGCUAACGCGUUAAGUAGACCGCCUGGGGAGUACGGCCGCAAGGUUAAAACUCAAAUGAAUUGACGGGGGCCCGCACAAGCGGUGGAGCAUGUGGUUUAAUUCGAUGCAACGCGAAGAACCUUACCUGGUCUUGACAUCCACGGAAGUUUUCAGAGAUGAGAAUGUGCCUUCGGGAACCGUGAGACAGGUGCUGCAUGGCUGUCGUCAGCUCGUGUUGUGAAAUGUUGGGUUAAGUCCCGCAACGAGCGCAACCCUUAUCCUUUGUUGCCAGCGGUCCGGCCGGGAACUCAAAGGAGACUGCCAGUGAUAAACUGGAGGAAGGUGGGGAUGACGUCAAGUCAUCAUGGCCCUUACGACCAGGGCUACACACGUGCUACAAUGGCGCAUACAAAGAGAAGCGACCUCGCGAGAGCAAGCGGACCUCAUAAAGUGCGUCGUAGUCCGGAUUGGAGUCUGCAACUCGACUCCAUGAAGUCGGAAUCGCUAGUAAUCGUGGAUCAGAAUGCCACGGUGAAUACGUUCCCGGGCCUUGUACACACCGCCCGUCACACCAUGGGAGUGGGUUGCAAAAGAAGUAGGUAGCUUAACCUUCGGGAGGGCGCUUACCACUUUGUGAUUCAUGACUGGGGUGAAGUCGUAACAAGGUAACCGUAGGGGAACCUGCGGUUGGAUCACCUCCUUA